GGCGUCCCACGCCCCCUUCCGGCCGGGGGCGCGCGGGUGCGGCGGGGCGGGGCGCGGAGCGGGAGCACACCCGUCCCCGUCGCUGCCCGCGGAAUGGGUGAGAUUUGUUUGUUUGUUAAUAAUCAUUUCUUCUGUCAACUCCUCCUUCAUCCAAAAAUAGCGACAAAGUGGGAAGGCCAAGUCUCACAAAACGCCCCCGCGCGAAAACAAGGGUCGGCUUGGGCUCCCUGAAACGCAUUCUUUGAGGAGUUGCCUGAAGUGUCGUAUAUUUAAUGUCCAAAAGACUGGGGUAAAAUUUUGUCUGCAUGUCUUGCAUAUGAAGAAACAGAAGCAAAAGCUAUACAUGGAAAAGAAUACUUCUCCAGACUUGACUCAAAUCUUCCUAAAGAAAGUUCUUUUCCCAAUUUUAAUUCUUUAGUAAUAUCCAUUGCUUUUCUAGUAUAAUCAAUAACAUUUCUGGAUCACCCUAAUAAAGAGUAUUUUACUUUAAA